CAUCAGGAUCUGGGAGAUGGGGAUGGGCCUCAUGAGUUCAGGGAGAAUUGAAUGACUGGCUUGUUAAAAAUAUUUAUCUAGAGCCUCCUGUGUAUGAGGCACAUAGAAGAUACAAAGGAAGGCUAACAGUGAUCUUUGUCCUCAAAGAUUCUGCAGGGGUCUGGUUCUGAAAUGCCCCCAUCUGAAUGUACAGACCUGGGGAGACGCUGAGGGAUAAACCUGGAGGCCAGAACCAAGAGUGCAGGAAGGCAUCAGUCCUCUUACCACAGAUAUGGACAGCGAAAAAAAUAUGUGCUCAAGGGCGUAAUCUUAGUAAAGCUGCAGAUUACGUUUAAAGCAAACAUUUACAAAGAGGAUUGGCAUGAGGGACGUUCGGGGAGAGCAGUUCUGUGUUGCAGAGCUUGUGAACUGUGGCAGUAGAUUUAGAAAAAAAGUGAAAAGAAAAGCUGCCAGGGGCCAAGCCUAGAUGUAUUUUAACAGCAAUCUCUCCAGCCAGCUGAUGCUCCUGAUUUUUGUUAUGUUGCUAUUGCCUCAGUGACCGUGGCAGCAAAGUCAUACAGGCCCAGAGAGAUCUUUCUGUGUUGCUGGACUUUUUGACUUUUUGAACUUCGUGCAAGAAGUUGCUUUGAUUUCCUCCCCCUGACUCCAGAGGAAUGCCUGUGGUCCCUGAAAUAGAAUAACAGUUGACAGAGCUCUGUGUCAUGUAAGCAGGGAAAAUUACGAAUGAAAUAGGUGAUUUGGGUUCUUGCAUUUGCUGUCCUGAACAUAGCUAAAUUCUAAUGGUUUCCCUCAAGGAAUUCAAUUUGAAUUUGCAUUUAUAAAAGCUGAUAGAUCAUCACUGAAGUUAUAAUUAAAAAGUAGGGAGACAUGAAAUAAGAGCAGAGGAGUACCAAUAAAAUGAACAUUCAUUUAUCCAGCAGACAUUUUUGUCCCUAUUAUGUUCAACUCAUUCUGCUAGGCACAAAACCAGGCACCUAUUUAUUUAUUUAUUUCAGGGCCGUACCCAUGGCAUAUGGAAGUUCCCAAGCUAGGGGUCAAAUCAGAGCUAUAGCUGCUGGCCUAGGCCACAGCCACAGCAAUGUGGGAUCCGAGUCACAUCUAUGACCUACGCCACAGCUCAUGGCAAUGCAGGAUCCUUAAUCCACUGAGUGAGGCCAGGGAUCGAACCCACAUCUUCAUGGAUGCUAAUCAGGUUCCUUUCCACGGAGCCACCAUGGGAACUCCCCAGGUGCCUAGUUAUAAUGGUCUCAAUUGCACUAUGCUCUUACAUGCACAAGAUCAGGACACUUCCCAGCUAAAAGCUCAAGGAGUUCCAGGCUCAAGUUCUUCCUAGUGAAAGCAUGAACUGUCCGUAAAAUAGAAGAAUGUGAGAGAAGAGUGUUCUUCAGUGGUCUCUGAUAGCCUUUGGUUUCAUGCCCCUCUGGAUUUUGUGAGGCUACCAAGUUUCACAAGGAAAGGCCCCCGUCCAGGGCUGUGUGUGCAGGAGGCAAGUAGACCAAGAAAAGUGGGAGAAAAUGUAACAAAGCAGGAAACAAAACCCAAUGUGAAGUCCUGCAAAGCGGUGGAAGCAGGCUUGUCUCAGAUGAAGCUCGUUCCUUUUGCAACAGCAAGCAGGGCGCUCUGCCUGUUCUCAACUGAGACUUGGUAAACCUAGUCUGAAUUAGCCUUCUGAGUAGAAAGGUGUGUUCCUGGGAAUUGGCAAGUGGGGUCCAAGAGCCUAGGUCUGAGGGUUAGAUGGAUGCCUGAUGUGGACACAGCCUGUUGUGGUUGAGUCCAGAGGCCCUAGGAAGGAAGAUGUGCUGCAGAUUCCUUCCAUAUUCACUCCUGCUCAACUCCUCUCAGAGCCAGAGACAGCCCAGAGAGGAGAGAGGUUGGCACAGGAUGGUGUUGGAACAUGCACUGUGGGAAGCCUGGCCGGGGGCUUCUGCAUGUUAACUUCCUGAUUGCCUGAAACAUAGGGCUCUCCACUGUAGGACUAAUUUUUUUUUUUUCCCAUUGGUUUUUCUACCAUUAUGAAUCAUUUUUUUAAAACAGUUUGGGUCCAGGAGUGGAGACUGUUCUGCCCCUUGGUUUAUGUUUGGGUGGUGCCUCUGACUCACUCACAGAAUCAGGUGCUCUUUGUACCUCAGUUUCUCCUUCCUCUAAAAACAGGAUGAAACUUGCCUGCUGCAGAUCACAGGCUGUGGGAAACUUGCUUAGGGAAAAUAAAGAAUGUUUUACAUACUCUUAGUGCCUUUAAGGGAGGUAGGAUUUGGGCCUGGUAAACAUUUUCUGUGGGAAAGAUACAUGGUGGUUUGAAAAAUCUUUAUUUAGAAGUGAAGCAAGCCCAUUUCCCUUCUAAUCUUCCUCCUGUAGUCAUAUAUCCCAUACAAUAGUUUACUAGUAAUAAUAAUAGCUACUAUUUAUUGACCAAGUCCUCUAUGCCAAUCACUCUGCCAGAUAUUAUCUUGAACUCUUAAAACAGAUAUGGAAGAUAAGUAUUAUUAAUUUCCUCUUGGUACUUGUGGAAGCUGAGGCCUAGAGAGGUUAGUGGAAAGGAUAGAGGCGACCCAGCCAGUAAGUGGUAGAGCUGGGUUUGUAAUUCAGGUCCACCAGGCUCCAAAGCCAUGCCCUUUCCACCACACCUCCAUUAGCCCCUGAGCACUCUUUUCAGAUUUCUGAGGGUGAAUGCGUGGACUCUGCCCAGAGAAGGCAGCUCCUAGCAGAAAAAGUGACUGCAGAGAGUGUGGUGCCGAGCACAGCAUUGGUGGUGCCCACGCUCAACUUGAGGAUGUGGCUGAGGCUGGUUGUGGUGGACAUAAUGCAAUGUCUUUUCCUUGGCCUUUGGCUGAAAUGCCAUCUGAGACUGACCCCACCCUUUUUUGUGUUUGUGCAGAACCCUGCAUGUUCCUGGUUCCCAGCCAUGUGGAGGACAACAAACUCAGAAAAGGAGUGAGUUCAUUUUGUGGGACAGACUCAUCGCACACCCAGAUCCCUCUCCCCUCUUGUAUUUUGGGCAUGCGGCAAGCUCCCAUGGGCCCACCUGACCACUUGUCCAGGGGGUCUCAAAGAGCGCGGUGGAUUGGGCCUCUGUUGUGCUGCUUCUAGAAGGUCCGGUUUUCUGGCCACAUGGCUUACCUGGAAGCUGUUAACUUUGCCCUAGUUCACUUUACUGCAUGCACAUUUAUCCUUUUUGUGGUGCUUUCAGUCAAGAGGUGUGGUGACUGAUGAGUUGAAACCUGUCUUAAUUAUGCACUGAAGCAGGCUUAAGGAGUGUUAUUACUUGCUUAAUGAUAGCAGCUUGCAAAACAGUUUCCAUGGCUCUCAGCACAGCCAGGCCUGCAUGGUCAUACAUCUGCUCUUGAAAGGGAUUUGCCAUUUGGAAAUGCAAGCCUUUGGCCCUGGCAAAUGGUGCCCUGACACAAUCAUUCUAGUGUUCGAUGCCCUCUAAAUGUCAUUGUCUAGUGAUUGGUGCUGAUUUGAGUAGCUCUUUAAGAGGCUGGGCUGUCAGUAUCCCUUUGGGGGGGAUCAUAGUCUUUGAUAUGGGGAAAGUAGAUGCUGAUUUUAUUGUUGCAUUACUAGAACCAGAAUUCCCUAAGGCCUAUUAUUAGCUCUUCAGAGGAAUUUUUAUAUACAAUAUCCAGAAUACUUGUGAAAUUUCUGUAUUAUGUAAUCACCAUCAAUAUUAUAUUGCAUAGGUCUUUUUUUUUUUCCUAUUUGUAGUAAUCACCACCUUGAUAUUUUGUUACUUAGGUAAGGAUGCACAAUAAGGCAGACAUUUAGGGUCAGUUCCUAUGUAUAACAUUCUUUUCUCAAACUUUCUAACCUUCUCUGGCAAUUAUGUAUUCCAAAUAGUGUGGUUUUUCUAGUAUCUAAAAGUUAGCUCUUGAAGUAAAACACACACACACACAAUUUUUAAAUUUUUAAAAAUUAGAUUUUAAACUUUUGUAGUAUAGUCUUGGUUCCUUAAAUAUUAUAUUUUAAUGUACUAUAAUAUUUAUUUUAAUGACUUGGGACAAUUAAUACCAGAGAUUGUAUAAUACUACUGUCAGUCAAUGAUACUCUCAAGGCAGCCAAGACACAUGGAGUUGGCCCUUUGUCUCACGAUAGCUAGAGUGUCCUCUGCUUUUAUUUCUCUAGACCUUAAGCAUUCUCUGCUUUCAUUUCUCCCUGCUGUCACAUGUCCUGUUGCUUCUUAUCCACGUUCUUAUUUUUCACAGAGAGGUAAGGACUUGACCAUGGCUCUUCUUUCCUGGAGAAUUUUAGCACAUGAGUUUUGUGACAGCAACCCACUGCUCACAGGUCUUCUUCCUUCACUCCAGCAUUCACAGCUUUCUGUAGAUGGUGGAGGGUGGAGGCAGGCUGAGCUUCCACCUCUCCAGGGUGGCCUGGACCUUGAGCAGAGCUGCUGCUUGGGAAAAUGCCUCUCAGCCUGUAUUGAGUUAUAGGUUCAUCAUAUGUAUGGUAAGUGCCCUUUAUUUCCUGAUCUGACUUUGGCAGAAGCCACUGCUCUGAUUUCUGUUUUACCAAGUCGCUGAUGGUAAGUGGUGCAACCUAAGCUUUCCCCCUCCAGUCUCCAUUUGGGCCUUUAUGUACCACCCUUGGAUAGGCAGGAGAUGCCAGUACCACAACAAAGAACUGGGUGCCCAACAUCUGAGCACUGAGGAUCCUUUGGGAACCCUUGUCACGCAUGUGAUUUCUUCUUUAAUGCCCAUCUUCCCCUCUAAACUGUGAGUGCCAAGAAAUAGGGAACUGGGGCUCCCACUGUGGCUCCGUGGUAAUGAACCUGACUAGUAUGCAUGAGGACUUGGGUUUGAUCCAUGGCCUUGCUUAAUGGGUUCAGGAUCUGGUGUUGCUGUGAGCUGUGGUGCAGAUUGCAGAU
rnacentral:lncRNA from 1 species